rnacentral:rRNA from 1 species
AACAUGUCCUUUUGUUAUUUAUAUAAGGUCUAACCUGCCCAAUGAUGUUUUUAAUGGCCGCGGUAUUUUAACCGUGCUAAGGUAGCAUAAUCAUUUGUCUUUUAAUUGAGGGCUGGAAUGAAAGGUUGGACGAGGUAUUAACUUUCUUUAAUUUAAUUAUUUGAAUUUUAUAUUUAGGUGAAAAAGCUUAAAUUUUUUUGUUGGACGAGAAGACCCUAUAGAUCUUAAUAUUUUUUUUAAUUAUAAUAUUUAGUGAUUAACUUUUUAUAAUUAGAAUAGAUAUUUGAUUGGGGUGAUUAUAGAAUUAUAAAAACUUCUAUUAUUAGUUUUCAUUAAUUAAUGUUUUUUUGAUCCAUUUUUAUUGAUUAAAAGAUUAAGUUACCUUAGGGAUAACAGCGUUAUUUCUACGGAGAGUUCAUAUCGAUGUAGAAGUUUGCGACCUCGAUGUUGGAUUAAAAUUAGUUUUGAAUGCAGUAGUUCAAUGGCUAGGUCUGUUCGACCUUUUAAUUUUUACAUGAUC